UUAAAUUGAAGAGUUUGAUCAUGGCUCAGAUUGAACGCUGGCGGCAGGCCUAACACAUGCAAGUCGAACGGUAACAGGAAGAAGCUUGCUUCUUUGCUGACGAGUGGCGGACGGGUGAGUAAUGUCUGGGAAACUGCCUGAUGGAGGGGGAUAACUACUGGAAACGGUAGCUAAUACCGCAUAACGUCGCAAGACCAAAGAGGGGGACCUUCG
rnacentral:rRNA from 1 species